AUGCAAGUCGAGCGGAUGAGUGGAGCUUGCUCCAUGAUUCAGCGGCGGACGGGUGAGUAAUGCCUAGGAAUCUGCCUGGUAGUGGGGGACAACGUUUCGAAAGGAACGCUAAUACCGCAUACGUCCUACGGGAGAAAGUGGGGGAUCUUCGGACCUCACGCUAUCAGAUGAGCCUAGGUCGGAUUAGCUAGUUGGUGAGGUAAAGGCUCACCAAGGCGACGAUCCGUAACUGGUCUGAGAGGAUGAUCAGUCACACUGGAACUGAGACACGGUCCAGACUCCUACGGGAGGCAGCAGUGGGGAAUAUUGGACAAUGGGCGAAAGCCUGAUCCAGCCAUGCCGCGUGUGUGAAGAAGGUCUUCGGAUUGUAAAGCACUUUAAGUUGGGAGGAAGGGCAGUAAGUUAAUACCUUGCUGUUUUGACGUUACCAACAGAAUAAGCACCGGCUAACUUCGUGCCAGCAG
rnacentral:rRNA from 2 species